rnacentral:rRNA from 1 species
AUUGAACGCUGGCGGCAGGCCUAACACAUGCAAGUCGAGCGAGCGGCGGACGGGUGAGUAAUGUAUGGGGACUGCCCGAUAGAGGGGGAUACCUACUGGAAACGGUGGCUAAUACCGCAUACUAUCGGAUAACCCAUAUGGGAUUAGCUAGUAGGUGGGGUAAAGGCUCUCCGAGGCGACGAUCUCUAGCUGGUCUGAGCGGAUAAUCAGCCACAUUGUGACUUGGACACGGCCCAAACUCCUACGGAGGCAGCAGUGUGGAAUAUUGCAUGAUGGGCGCAAGACUGAUGCAGCCAUACCGCGAGCAUGAAGAAGGCCUUAGGGUUGUAAAGUACUUUCAGCGGGGAGGCGUUACCCGCAGAAGAAGAACCGGCUAACUCCGUGCCAGCAGCCGCGGUAAUAC